rnacentral:rRNA from 1 species
GACGAACGCUGGCGGCGUGCUUAACACAUGCAAGUCGAACGGAAAGGCCCUGCUUUUGUGGGGUGCUCGAGUGGCGAACGGGUGAGUAACACGUGAGUAACCUGCCCUUGACUUUGGGAUAACUUCAGGAAACUGGGGCUAAUACCGGAUAGGAGAUCCUUCUGCAUGGUUGGGGUUGGAAAGUUUCGGCGGUUGGGGAUGGACUCGCGGCUUAUCAUCUUGUUGGUGGGGUGGUGGCUUACCAAGGCAUUGACGAGUAGCCGGCCUGGGAGGGUGACCGGCCACAUUGGGACUGAGAUACGGCCCGGACUCCUACGGGAGGCAGCAGUGGGGAAUAUUGCACAAUGGGCGGAAGCCUGAUGCAGCAACGCCGCGUGCGGGAUGACGGCCUUCGGGUUGUAACCCGCUUGCGCCUGUGACGAAGCGUGAGUGACGGUAAUGGGUAAAGAAGCACCGGCUAACUACGUG